AUUGAACGCUGGCGGCAGGCCUAACACAUGCAAGUCGAGCGGAUGAAGGGAGCUUGCUCCUGGAUUCAGCGGCGGACGGGUGAGUAAUGCCUAGGAAUCUGCCUGGUAGUGGGGGAUAACGUCCGGAAACGGGCGCUAAUACCGCAUACGUCCUGAGGGAGAAAGUGGGGGAUCUUCGGACCUCACGCUAUCAGAUGAGCCUAGGUCGGAUUAGCUAGUUGGUGGGGUAAAGGCCUACCAAGGCGACGAUCCGUAACUGGUCUGAGAGGAUGAUCAGUCACACUGGAACUGAGACACGGUCCAGACUCCUACGGGAGGCAGCAGUGGGGAAUAUUGGACAAUGGGCGAAAGCCUGAUCCAGCCAUGCCGCGUGUGUGAAGAAGGUCUUCGGAUUGUAAAGCACUUUAAGUUGGGAGGAAGGGAAGUAAGUUAAUACCUUGCUGUUUUGACGUUACCAACAGAAUAGGCACCGGCUAACUUCG
rnacentral:rRNA from 1 species